UAAAGGUGUGUACUAAAGGAUUCCUCUGAA
rnacentral:piRNA from 1 species